rnacentral:miRNA from 1 species
CUCCUCUGCCUGCUGCUCUGCUGCACACCCUCAGUGGCUGACUUCGGCAUAGUGGGCUCAGAGCAGGCACA